rnacentral:lncRNA from 1 species
CCAACAAUGAAGCAUAAAUCCAUUCCUAGAGGGUGGGGUCUGCAAGGAGAAGGACAUUGUCAUCUUCAUUAGAUUGUUUAUAUUCAGCUUGGUGUCAGACUACUGUGGUGGACAUUCUUGGGGAAGGUGAUUUGCCACACCACCAGGAACUACAUCUCAUCGUGACUCUGGCCCGCAUCCCACUGAGCAACCCCAACUCCUCAUGGGAGUUCAUGGAAGCCACGGCCACCCAGCAUUGCCACAGCAAGAAGGCUCAGGAGGUGCAUAACUGAUCUGCAGAUGAACCCAGCACCUACUCAGGAGGAACCCAAAUGGAAUCAAGGAGUGGAACAUAAAAAUCGGUUUCUUAUGCCUCUGCACUUCACCUUUCUCCUGUUCAUCCCACUCUGCCAUCAUUGCCUGCUUGCCUCCGAAUUGCCCACGACAGUGCAGUCUGGGCACGGAUCACACCUCCCAUGCAGCGGUGGCUUUGUGAUCUGUCCACCUGGGUAUGGCUAAAGAAUAAAGAAGAUAAUAUCAGAAGUGCAUCUGAAGAGGAAGGUACCAAAUGGGCUCUGGGAGAACCACCUCACUUUACCAGCAUGAAGCCCCACCAGCCCUGCACUCCCAGCCUGUGGACUGUCACUCAGCAUCUUCUCAGCCUCUCAGCCGCACCUUAGGGCAGGCAGCUCCAAACAUUGGUAAGGACUGUACGACGCCACAUGCCCCGCGGCUGGACAAGGCAGAGGAGAAAAACUCACACAGGCACAAGAAUUUGAGAGUUCAAAUGAACUUGAGAGUUCUGAGUUCAAAGACGAGUCUGAUUUUCUUUCUUAAUAAAAGGCCAGUGAGGGAGGGUCUCCUGGCCUAAUCCAAAGGCAGCAAGCAGAUCACUGUUUGGUUGGGGAGAAGCGUGAGUCUCCACCGUCCUGGACCCAGCAGGGUACUCGCAUUCAGACCAUGGGUUCCCCGACCAAGAGCACUGCAGUUAGCUUAGGCGGGGAGGCGGGCCCUGCUGGGAGCGUGCUGGGCUAGAAGAGUUAUGUGGCUUGAAUUCACGUACACAAGGGACUAGACAAGCACACACUGGGCGGUCUUGACUCUGUACAUGGCAAGUCCUGGCCUGGGUCCCCCCCCAGGUCCCUGAGCAUUAAAAGUACAAAGGUGGGCUGGGUGCAGUGGCUCACGCCUGUAAUCCCAGCUCUUUGGAAGGCUGAGGCGGGUGGAUCACGAGGUC